rnacentral:rRNA from 1 species
UGGGUGACCUGCCCUCAGCUCUGGGAUAAGCCUGGGAAACUGGGUCUAAUACUGGAUAUUCACUUCCUAUCGCAGUGGUGGGUGGUUGGAAAGUUUUUAUCGGCUAGGGAUGGGCCCGCGGUCUAUCAGCUUGUUGGUGGGCAAUGGCUCACCAAGGCGGCGACGGAUAACCGGCCUGAGAGGGCGACCGGUCACACUGGGACUGAGACACGGCCCAGACCUCCGUACGGGAG